rnacentral:rRNA from 1 species
UACGUAGGGGGCUAGCGUUGUCCGGAAUCAUUGGGCGUAAAGAGCGUGUAGGCGGCCCGGUAAGUCCGCUGUAAAAGUCAAAGGCUCAACCUUUGAAUGUCAGUGGAUACUGCCGGGCUAGAGUCCGGAAGAGGCGAGUGGAACUCCUGGUGUAGCGGUGGAAUGCGCAGAUAUCAGGAAGAACACCAACGGCGAAGGCAGCUCGCUGGGACGGUACUGACGCUGAGACGUGAAAGCGUGGGGAGCGAACAGG